ensembl:lncRNA LINC02974 long intergenic non-protein coding RNA 2974
GUUUAGAAAUAUUGUUUCCAUAUUACAAGUUUAAGGAAAAGUUUAUCUGCCAAAAUAAUAACAUGGAUUUCUAGAGCACCCCAUACCAUAAGGAGGAGCCAGAAUAUUUUCCAGCUGAAUUCCAGUCUUACUCAUUUUCCUUGAAUGAUACUGAAAUCUAAAUUAUCCUUGAACACAAACAAUGACAAAGAAAUACAAAUGUUCAUGCAGUGUAAUUUUCAACAAUCAAAUUGGCCAAUCUGAUUCUAAUUCUAAGCUUUGCUGAGGAUGCCAAGCAGAAGCCACGUGAGCACACUGCUGAACACCCAGGAUCUUUCCAUGUAUGGCAGCCUUCAUGUGAGUUCUCUUCUCACCAUACAAUGUUGUGGAUACAGAAGGGAAGGAAUUGGAUUUGGAUGAGUACUGAGCACCGAUCACAGGACAGAGCCUCAAAGUUGCUUUUUGGAAUAAAUUUCUUAUAGUA